UACAGAGGGGGCGAGCGUUGUUCGGAAUUACUGGGCGUAAAGGGCGCGUAGGCGGCCUUCUAAGUCGAACGUGAAAUCCCCGGGCUCAACCAGGGAACUGCGUCUGAUACUGGAUGGCUUGAAUCCGGGAGAGGGAUGUGGAAUUCCAGGUGUAGCGGUGAAAUGCGUAGAUAUCUGGAGGAACACCGGUGGCGAAGGCGGGUCUCUGGGCCGAUACUGACGCUGAGGAGCGAAAGCGUGGGGAGCGAACAGG
rnacentral:rRNA from 1 species